CCUACGGGGGGCAGCAGUAGGGAAUCUUCCACAAUGGGCGAAAGCCUGAUGGAGCAACGUCGCGUGGGUGAAGAAGGUCUUCGGAUCGUAAAACCCUGUUGUUAGAGAAGAAAGUGCGUGAGAGUAACUGUUCACGUUUCGACGGUAUCUAACCAGAAAGCCACGGCUAACUACGUGCCAGCAGCCGCGGUAAUACGUAGGUGGCAAGCGUUAUCCGGAUUUAUUGGGCGUAAGGGGAACGCAGGCGGUCUUUUAAGUCGGAUGGGAAAGCCUUCGGCUUAACCGGAGUAGUGCAUUGGAAACGGGGAGACUUGAGUGCAGAAGAGGAGAGUGGAACUCCAUGGUGAGGGGUGAAAUGCGUAGAUAGAAGGAGGAACACAAGUGGCGAAGGCGGCUCUCUGGUCUGUAACUGACGCUGAGGUUCGAAAGCGUGGGUAGCAAACAGGAUUAGAUACCCGAGUAGUC
rnacentral:rRNA from 1 species